AGCAGCCGCGGUAAUUCCAGCUCCAAUAGCGUAUAUUAAAGUUGUUGCAGUUAAAAAGCUCGUAGUUGAAUUUCGGGAUCAGUUGAUCGGUCGUGCCUCGGUACGUACUGGUCAAAUUGAUUCCUACCUUCUGACGAACCACGAUGUCAUUAAUUUGGUGUCGUGGGAAAUCAGGACUGUUACUUUGAAAAAAUUAGAGUGUUUAAAGCAGGCUCGCGCUUGAAUACAUUAGCAUGGAAUAAUGAAAUAGGACGUUUGAUUCUAUUUUGUUGGUUUCUAGGAUCGACGUAAUGAUUAAUAGGGAUAGUUGGGGGCAUUAGUAUUCAAUUGUCAGAGGUGAAAUUCUUGGAUUUAUUGAAGACUAACUACUGCGAAAGCAUUUGCCAAGGAUGUUUUCAUUAAUCAAGAACGAAAGUUAGGGGAUCGAAGACGAUCAGAUACCGUCGUAGUCUUAACCAUAAACUAUGCCGACUAGGAAUCGGAUGAUGUUAAUUUUUUAAUGACUCAUUCGGCGCCUUAC
rnacentral:misc_RNA from 1 species